GGGGGCGGUGGGGGAAGCGCAUUGGACCCGCCCCUAGGACCGAGCUGUCCAAUGUAGAGGUGGAGGCGGAGUUUGUGUCUGGGCCCGGAGCAUAGCCGUCCAAUUGCAGUAUGGUGCGAACCCGGAGGUGGGGCCAGUAAAACUGCCCCAGAACUGAGCUGGCCAAUGAGGAGGGAGGGCGGGGACUGUGUGACUUUUUUGUUUUGCUUGGAGCAGCCUCUCAAUCUGGCUUCAACCAAUGAGGGACGAAGGUGGAGCACGUGGGCCCCAGCCAGAGACUCGCAACCCGCGGAGGAGGCGUCUGCCGCUAUCCUCCCGCUCGCCUGUGCAGUUUCUGCUCCGUCCUACUGGCUGCCCUGGGACCUGGAUUGGAGGGGCCUGAUCUUUCUGUCUGGCCAGUUCUGCCCUCUGAGAGCCCCAGGGUGGAAGUAGCCUGUCUUGGGGAGUUUCUUCUCAGAGACUAUCCCAGCACUCCAGCUCCCGCUGGGCUCCUGGGGACAGAGUUGUGGCCUCCAGAUCGUUGACGACCACAGAACCGCCCAUAGCUAUAGCCUCCAGGUUCCAAAGACCAGUGUUAGGAUUUUAAUGGCCUCUCCACUCAUGCAACCAAGUCACCGUUGGAGGUGAGGAUGAUGAAGCUCUGGCAUCUCGUCAUUUGUACCCGAUUCAUAGAGCCAACACUGAAAAGGGCAUAACAAAACACAAAGAGAAGAUGAGAACAAGAAAUGCUGCAAAGAAUGUGAGCAGACAUACUUGGUUAGAAGCAGCCUAGCAGGUCACACCUAAGAAAGUGCUGUCUUUACCAUUUCCUAUUGUCUUCUGAUCAAAAGGAGGCAGGCAGCCUUCAGCUUUGGCUCCGUUGUGCUCCAAACGUCUGUAAGAUCCGCCAGGCCAGGAGCCUGUCAAGCACAGCCCUCUGCACUUAGAGAAGACCUGCAGAAGCACUCUUCGGAGCUGCUCUAACAGAGAAGUCAUUGGAAGUUUCUUCUGGUGGGUGAUGUAGGAAAAAAGACAUAUAAUAAAAUGGAAUCAGAGCUAGCCCUACGGUGCAGUGGUUAAAUGCUGUGCCUUGAGAUCUGGAUCCUACAUUGCUGAACGUGGCUCGAAUCCCAGCCCCAGUGGCUUGAAAAACACACCAGGUGUUGUGUGUGUGUCCCAAAUCCUGAA